CCCUUAGAUGUUCUGGGCCGCACGCGCGCUACACUGAUGCAUUCAACGAGUCUAAAACCUGGUCUGAUAGGGCUGGGUAAUCUUUUGAAUGUGCAUCGUGACUGGGAUAGAUGAUUGCAAUUCUUCAUCUUCAACGAGGAAUGCCUAGUAAACGCAAGUCAUCAGCUUGCAUUGAUUACGUCCCUGCCCUUUGUACACACCGCCCGUCGCUCCUACCGAUUGAAUGUUCCGAUGAAUACCAUGGACUGAGAGUAUGAAUGGGUUCGCCUAUUUCUGCUUCUCGGGAAGUGGAGUAAAUCUUAACAUUUAGAGGAAGGAGAAGUCGUAACA
rnacentral:rRNA from 1 species